GGUUAAUCCAGCCUCUAGUGGCUGUCUCAUUGACAGCCACUAGAGGCGCUUCUCACUGUGAAAAUCACAGUGAGAAGACGCCAGCAUCCGUAGGAAAGCAUUGAGAAUGCUUUCCUAUGGACUUGCUGAAUGCGCGCGCGGCUCCUGCCGCGCAUGCGCAUUCAGCCGAAGAGGAGGCGGAGAUGAGCUCCCUGCCCAGCACUGGAGAAAGAAGUUUAACCCCUUCCUCUCCAUCCAGCCCGGCGGGAGGGGGUCCCUGAGGGUGGGGGCACCCUCA